rnacentral:rRNA from 1 species
GAUGAACGCUGGCGGCGUGCCUAAUACAUGCAAGUCGAGCGAACAGACGAGGAGCUUGCUCCUCUGACGUUAGCGGCGGACGGGUGAGUAACACGUGGAUAACCUACCUAUAAGACUGGGAUAACUUCGGGAAACCGGAGCUAAUACCGGAUAACAUGUUGAACCGCAUGGUUCAACAGUGAAAAACGGUCUUGCUGUCACUUAUAGAUGGAUCCGCGCCGCAUUAGCUAGUUGGUAAGGUAACGGCUUACCAAGGCAACGAUGCGUAGCCGACCUGAGAGGGUGAUCGGCCACACUGGAACUGAGACACGGUCCAGACUCCUACGGGAGGCAGCAGUAGGGAAUCUUCCGCAAUGGGCGAAAGCCUGACGGAGCAACGCCGCGUGAGUGAAGAAGGUCUUCGGAUCGUAAAACUCUGUUAUUAGGGAAGAACAAAUGUGUAAGUAACUAUGCACGUCUUGACGGUACCUAAUCAGAAAGCCACGGCUAACUACGU